ensembl:snRNA U6 U6 spliceosomal RNA
GCACUUGCCUGGGCAGCACAUAUACUAAAACUGGGGUUGUACAGGGAAGAUUAGUGGGGUCCAUGUGCAAGGAUGACACAUGAAUUCAUGAAGUAUUCCAUAUUUAA